UACUAAAUAUCUGUUUAUAUGUGAAGUG
rnacentral:piRNA from 1 species